GGAGUCUAGCAUGUGCGCGAGUCAUUGGGAUGCACUAGCUAAACCUAAAGGCGAAAUGAAAGUGAAGGCGCGCCUCGCGCGUGCCAAGGGAGGAUGGCGGGGCCGUCCGCGUUCGAGCGCGGCGCGUGCGCCCGCCCGCACUCCCGGGGCGUCUCGUUCUCAUCGCGAGAAGAGGCGCACCCAGAGCGUACACGCUGGGACCCGAAAGAUGGUGAACUAUGCCUGGUCAGGACGAAGUCAGGGGAAACCCUGAUGGAGGUCCGUAGCGAUUCUGACGUGCAAAUCGAUCGUCGGAACUGGGUAUAGGGGCGAAAGACUAAUCGAACCAUCUAGUAGCUGGUUCCCUCCGAAGUUUCCCUCAGGAUAGCUGGCGCUCGCUCUUUGCGCGAGUCUCAUCCGGUAAAGCGAAUGAUUAGAGGCAUUGGGGUCGAAACGGCCUCAACCUAUUCUCAAACUUUAAAUGGGUGAGAUCUCCGGCUUGCUUGAACGCUGAAGCCGCGAGAUCGGAUCAGAGUGCCAAGUGGGCCACUUUUGGUAAGCAGAACUGGCGCUGUGGGAUGAACCAAACGUGGAGUUAAAGCGCCUAAAUCGACGCUUAUGGGAUACCAUGAAAGGCGUUGGUAACUUAAGACAGCAGGACGGUGGCCAUGGAA
rnacentral:rRNA from 1 species